GAUACAAUUCUACACCAAAAUUUCCCUGAAAAACCCCUCUAUUUUCUAUCCCAAAUCAAACUCCUGUUUUUUGAGUACACACCACACACAAAAAAUCAACCAAGAAAUCUCUCACAAACUCUCUCUCCCGCUCACAUGUACACAUCAACAACCAUAUUACAUCAUCUCUUUCACUAAAAUAAACAUUAAGCUUCAUCAGAUUUUUUUUCCA
rnacentral:lncRNA from 1 species